GGAGGCCGGGUGGGGCCACUUGGCCGGGCAGCCACGCCGCGGUCUGGGACUGUCCUGAAGGUGAAUUCCAGUGCCCCGGAAGGAAUGACAGGCAGCGGAGUCCUGCCAUCUCCUCCGAAAAAUGAAGCUGCUGAAAAGAAAAUAGAAAGAAUCACAAAGACCUCUGCCUUAGAAGUGUACAGACUCUGAGAAGCCAAGCUGUUUACCACAGCAGACUGGGGACCGCUCAACCCAGGGUCUGCUGUGGGAUGAGAUCAACUACCAUUGCCAUGUUGUUUGCUGUUUGGAGCUGGUAUGAUUCUAGGUUUGGUUGGAAGGCUGCAGGGUACAUGCUUGGUUUAAUGGAGGUCAUGGCUAUUGCUAGAGAGCCUAGAAGUCACUGCUCCACUGAAGGACUGGGAUCCAAAGAUAUUCCUUGUUCCCAAUGGCCAAGUCUUGAUAACAGGAGUGGCAUCCUGUGAAGAUGGAUUGCGAGAACUUUCACUGGAGCCCAGCACCUUGAGGAUAUCAAGAGGCUAAAACUAUGACUAACACGAAGAACUAUUAGGAAAACCUAUUUUAGCUUGAUGGUAGAAAUAACUGAGUAAAUACUAGCCAUGUCCGCACACAGAUUAGGUGCCAGUAUAAGUCUUUGAAGUCCUCAUUACCUGCAGGUACUCCAGCAGAUUCUCAGGUCACUACUUCGGGGUGUUAUGAUGAGAAUUCACGUAUUCCAUGGAGGGUGACAUUCAACAGCCUUGUAAAUGGCUUCCUUUCUAAGGCUCAAUGCUUCCGAGUAGAUGAAAGUGUGUUAAUUUGUCUAUGUGGUCAUUACAGAAUUGAUGGUAGGACCAUUAAGCAUCCUUCAAAGGCAAAAACGCAGUGUGCCUUAUAGUCAACACAUUUCCACAUGCUCCAAGGAAUCUGAGGGUAUGCAUGUGUCUUAACAAAG
rnacentral:lncRNA from 1 species